UCAAAGUCAGGAACUUUCUCGAACUCUGUCGGCAAACAGUAAAGAUUUACUGAACACCCUGAUGCUCCUUUUAAGAAAGUACUUCAGCAGUUUUACAGAUCAUCCUCACCUAGUUUUCCAAAUCUUGCUGAAUGAAGGAGGGCCAGUUUUAUCUCCUAUGGCAUCAAACAUGUUGCAGACCAAAUACCCUGGAAUAUCUUACAUGGAAUUUGUGAACAAGCAAAUGCACCAGGAACCGGUUCUAGCCCAGUUUGAAUGUUCAUCUGCAGUGGUUUGUUUUGAUGUUUCACCACAGUUAGACUACAUGGUGUGUGAGUGUAAGGACGGAACGAUUCAGUUGUGGUCACUCCAUACUGGUAAGCUACGGUGGACUCGUCCUGUAAAGGGAAAGAAACGCUACUUCAGCAUUCUCAGAAUAUCAGUAUCCUCAUCAGAUGUCUUGUCAUGUUAUCGCUCAGUAGUUUUUCAUCCCACCGAGAAAGUGGUUUUACCGGGAGUCCUUAACCAUGUGUAUGAUUUCAACGGAGAUCUGAAACCCCUUUUUCCUGAAAGCAGCUGCAGUUUCACUGUUUGUUCGAUUUCAGUAGACAAGACCACGAUGUUAACUGAUUGUCCUCACAAUGCUAAAUGCAUUAUAAUUUGGAGUCUGAAGAAUGGUUCAGAGAUUACUCAUAUCACCAGAGAUGAAGAUGUCUUGUCUUUUGCAUGGUCACGAGAUGCAAAGCUGCUGGCAAUUUCUCAUUUGAGUGGUCGUAUUGCUAUCGUUGAUGUGGUAAAUGGUUUUAGAAUACUAGGACAAACCGAUCUCCGAAACGUAUGUGGCAUGAUUAGGUUUUCGCCCAAUAGUCGAUCUCUUUUUUGUCUCCAUUUAUCACCGCAUGACAUUAAGUACUCUGCCUUUCGUCUGAAUAUCAAUAUCGUCGAACAUUCCUCCUGGCGGGUGGAUGUUCUUGAAGAGCCCUAUGUAACCUGGGAAUUUGAAUCACGUAGCGAGGGUGGAUUUUUGUUAGGAGAUCCCGUAUCUGGUGCAUUUAAAGAAGAGCUUGGUCGAAUCAUUUCAAGUAGGAAGUUUGAUUUUGUGCUUGAUAAGCAUACUGUAUUGAGGAGUGAUGAUGAUCGCGUAGAAAUGUUGAAUGUUACUGACCAAGAGGAAGAUGAUAAAGAAGCUGCAAAUACUAUCGUGGAACACGCUGUGUUUUCCUUGAGUGGUGAGACCAUUUAUGUUGUCAGUCGCUCUAAUGACUUAAUUGCAACCACAGUGACGGCCUGGAAUGUUUCAAAUAGCGAGCUGAUUGCAAAGAGGGAUUUAUCCUCACGCAUUUAUCUUUUAGCUGUGAAAGGUGGUGUUUUGAUAAAAGAAAUCGGUACUCUGCAAAUGUGGAAUUUUGAGUUGUCCAAGUGCGUCCGACGCUACACCAACAUCGGCAGUGUAACAGACGUGAUUCCUACAUCUGAAGAAAAAGUGGCAUGUACGACGGAAGAGGGGAAGGUGAUCAUCCUUGAUACUACUAGCGGAGAGAUCUUGUCGACCAUCCAGAUUGAUCGAACCACAAAUUUGCGUGCGUGCAACAGUAAAUUUCAAAUUUUAACCUGGAGCAAGGAUGGCUCACUUCGUUUGUCGGAUCGCGAAACCACGCUCUGGGAAAAACAACUGCAUACAAAAGAUCUUUGUGAUUUUGGAAGGUUUUCUCCUGCGGAAACCUUUGUCAUCAUUUACUCUAAUGUGUGGAGUAGAGAUGGAGUAUACGUCUUUGACGCAGUUUCUGGAAAACUGCUACACGUUUUAGGUAGUCCACGUACCGGUCUGUCAUCAUUUUUUGAUUGUAAAUUUGUCAGUGACGAGGUGUGUGUUGUCAUCUCCGAGGCUAUCCUCCUAGAACAUUGUCGUGUUCAGCUGUUUAACGUGAAGUCAGGUGACCUGCUGAGUAACCUCCCGCUGAGUAACACGCUGAAGAGUGGCCUGCAGCGGAGUAACGUGCAGCGGAGUACCCCGCUAAAACAAAGGCGGGAUUGCUUAGCAGCCUCGCCAUGUAAGCGUCUCGUCGCCAUUUAUCAAAGUGACUCUAAACACGGAUACGAACUUAUCCAGGUUCGGUUGCCUGGAGAUGAAGACAGCUGGAAGAGCAGAUGGACUCUCAACCCCGAAAACACAUAAAAGCACAAGAAGGAGAACAAGAGGUGUGUUCUUGUUCACCGUAGUAUCGUUAUUAUCCUGAUCAGCUGAGCCGUUUCCGAGGGAUGAAUGGUGAUGAUGACGACAAUAAUGAUUACAGCAAGUGAAGUGAUACUUUCAACGAGGGCGUGUAACGAACGAGUAACGCGCGCGAACUUCGCGCUUCUCGUUCUACUAAGAAGCACGGCAAGAUGGAGUGCAUCCUCUUUAGUCCCAGCAAACUGCGUCGUGUCCUGGAGGCUGUCUUGGCAUUGUCCAUCACAGGAAAAAUUUUCCACGUGCCUUUUUUAAUCAACCAAGUUACUUUUAACAAUGAUAUUACAAGAUAUUAAGAACGAUUUGAAGCUUAACAAAUAGACUUCAUUUUGCCGUGCGUCUGGUCAGUUCUAGAUGCACAGAUGACCUCGAAACAUGGUCAGAACAAAACAGUUGACUGUCGGACGAAGUACUGUAAAGUAGAUAGAUUUAGCAAAGUCAAGGUGGUGCACUAACGGAGGCUGAGUACAGAGUCUACAAGCGUAAAACUUACAAAAACCUGACGUGAACUUAUUGUGAGGACAUUAGCACCGCGCAUUCCUUUGAUUCAAUAUCUGCUUUGUUCAGUUACUGAACGGACCAAGGAUAAAAUGGAAUCUAUUUGUGUUAUAUAGUAACAGUUCAGAGAAUUUUAUUGUUUUCAAACAAGAAACGUCGGUUGUUAUUAGUUUUUAUAACAGAUUUGUAGACGGGAAUAAAGCGCGACACAAUAAACUUCAGAAUAAUUGCAAGAACUUAAAAACGUUAGGUACACAAUUUACUGGAAACUACGUGAAAAUUUAUUAACAAAAAUAAUUGUUUGAAGUUGUUUUACGAAGAAUUAUGCCGGUGGCCAUUCAGUGAAGUUCACGUCAAACUAUUCUAGACAUUUGUAAUUUGUAAUGUUAAAUUAAUAUUUGAUAGCUAGGUAGAACUGUUCAUUUUCAACAUUGAAUAUGUUAGUUAAACUAGACUAGGGUCUAGAGUCUAGGGAUUCUUUUUGAAUAUUAGUUAAGGCCUAAUUCAUUGCAGAGUAUACAUGUAACUAGAACCUAAUCAUAAGUGUGGACAAGUUUUGUACAGAUUCUCAACGAUGCUUGCAUUAUUUUAGUGUGUGACUGGAGGAGAUGUCUGAUAUUCAGGCUAACCUGUUUUAAGGUUUCAUAAAGCGUAUAAGGACUAAUGUAAUAUAGAUGUUCAAAUUAGGGAUAACAGUGGAGAGUUCGAGCCUCCAACUUUGUGCAAAAUAAUUUAAUUCAUGACCACAACAUUAUAAAAUAUUUUUUCCUACCAUGGAAGAUUUUCUGAAAAUAUUCAAUUUAGCGCAGCGUAUGAUGAUUAGAUUAUCGGUGUAUUGCAUUUCUAAUAAGCGCAUUCGAUUUUUUCAAUGGAAUGUUUUUCAAAGGAAAAUAUAAGAAAACGUAGUACUGAGUAAUGUACUCAUAAAAAAGUUUGAAGCAGUAUAGAAAUCUAGAUUUCUAAUUUUUUUGUGUGCGCAAAAUGGUCAAAAAAUGCCGAGGAUCUGUCAUAGUGGAUUCUUGAAGUUUCUUUAUUCUGUAAUCAAUUYRUGUAURUCACUGUAUUGAAAGASAAGUGACUUUUCUUCCUGAUGAAAAUAGUAUGUAUUGUAGUUUUAUUGUACAAGUGAUGAGAACACUUUAAAACGAAAGACGAUGAAGUUUAAGUCAGAGUAAUUGUAUCAGGUAGACUUUUGUAGUAAUCCAGACAAAAUAAACGUGAUGUUAGUUGUCAGUUGACUAUUUC